AGGAACCUAACCAGUAUGUUGGAGUCUGUGAACCUGUGGGCUGAGAGGAUGAAGGACUAUCACCAAAUUCUUUCUUGGCUCAUUCGAGCUUACAAAGCUUUCACAGAUAACCCAAUCUUCUUGUUCAUGCCCUCUGGUGUAUUUCUACUGCUAAUAUAUUUCCGUAUUCAGGUAGUAGAUGGCCAAAGGAAAAUCAUCAGACGGUUAGAAAAGCAAAUUGACGAUGAAAGUAAAGACAAAAAAUUCCUC